rnacentral:tRNA from 1 species
CCGUCGAUAGCUCAGUUGGCAGAGCGGUGGACUGUAGAUCCAUAGGUCGCUGGUUCGACUCCGCCUCGACGGA